UACAGAGAGUGCGAACGUUGUUCGGAAUCACUGGGCUUGAAGCGCACGUAGGCGGCAUCGUAAGUGUCGGGUGAAAUCCCACGGCUCACCCGUGGAACUGCCCGGCAGACUGCGAUGCUCGAGUGUGGUAGGGGAGAACGGAACUCCUGGUGGAGCGGUGAAAUGCGUAGAUAUCAGGAGGAACACCGGUGGCGAAGGCGGGUCUCUGGGCAGUAACUGACGCUGAGGAGCGAAAGCGUGGGGAGCGAACAGGAUUAGAUACCCCAGUAGU
rnacentral:rRNA from 1 species